rnacentral:rRNA from 1 species
AGUGAACGCUGGCGGUAUGCCUAACACAUGCAAGUCGAACGGCAGCACAGUAAGAGCUUGCUCUUACGGGUGUCGAGUGGCGGACGGAUGAGGAAUACAUCGUAAUCUACUUUUGCGUGGGGGUUAACGUAGGGAAACUUACGCUAAUACCGCAUACGAUCUACCGUUGAAAGCAGUGGAUCUUCGGACCUUGCGCGCUUGCAUGAGCCGAUGUCGGAUUUUCUCGUUGGCGGGGGAAAGGCCCUCCAAGGCGACGCUCCGUAGCUGGUCUGAGAGGAUGACCAGCAAAACUGGAACUGGGAACCGGUCAGACCUCCUCGGGAGGGCAGAGGUGGGAAAUAUUGGACAAGGGGCGAAAGCCUGCUCCAGACAUACCGGGUGGUUGAAGAAGGCCUUCGGGUUGUAAAGCCCUUUUGUUGGGAAAGAAAAGCAGCAGGUUAAUACCCCGCUGUUCUGACGGUACCCAAAGAAUAAGCACCGGCUAACUUCGUG